rnacentral:rRNA from 1 species
GGAUUUGCCCAUUGGUCAGGCUUAACUGUCUGCACUGGUGUGACGAGUUCCUACCUUCUGAGGAAUCUCCAUGUCAUUCAGUUGGUGUGGGGGGAAAUCAGGACUGUUACUUUGAAAAAAUUAGAGUGUUUAAAGCAGGCAUCCGUCUGAAUACAUUAGCAUGGAAUAAUAAAAUAGGACGGUUUGGUUCUAUUUUGUUGGUUUCUAGGAUCACCGUAAUGAUUAAUAGGGAUAGUUGG